GUGUUUGCUUCAGCAGCACAUAUACUAAAAUUGGAAUGAUACAAAGAUUAGCAUGGCUCUGCACAAGCAUGACAUGCAAAUUCAUGAAGUGUUCCAUAUUAAA
ensembl:snRNA U6 U6 spliceosomal RNA